AAUCAACGCUGGCGGCGUGCCUCAGACAUGCAAGUCGAACGAUUAAAGCUCUCUUCGGAGAGUGCAUAGAGUGGCGCACGGGUGAGUAACACGUAAGUAAUCUACCUUCGAGUGGGGAAUAACGUCCGGAAACGGGCGCUAAUACCGCAUAAUGCAGCGGCAUCGCAAGAUGACAGUUGUUAAAGGAGCAAUCCGCUUGAAGAGGAGCUUGCGGCAGAUUAGCUAGUUGGUAGGGUAAUGGCCUACCAAGGCUACGAUCUGUAACCGGUCUUAGAGGACGGUCGGUCACACUGACACUGAAUAACGGGUCAGACUCCUACGGAGGCAGCAGUCGGGAAUUUUGGACAAUGGGCGCAAGCCUGAUCCAGCCAUGCCGCGUGC
rnacentral:rRNA from 1 species